UACGUAGGGUGCAAGCGUUUGUCCGGAAUUAUUGGGCGUAAAGAGCUCGUAGGCGGUCUGUCGCGUCGGCUGUGAAAACUCGGGGCUCAACCCCGAGCCUGCAGUCGAUACGGGCAGACUAGAGUGCUGUAGGGGAGACUGGAAUUCCUGGUGUAGCGGUGAAAUGCGCAGAUAUCAGGAGGAACACCGGUGGCGAAGGCGGGUCUCUGGGACGGUACUGACGCUGAGACGCGAAAGCGUGGGGAGCGAACAGG
rnacentral:rRNA from 1 species